AUGGGUGUCUUUGGAUGGCUCUGUGUGGGAUGGCUGCUUCUCCUUGACUCACACCGCGGGGGUGGGCUUCAGUCCCUGCACAGACGUCUUGGAAGCCAGAGUGGAGCUCAGCAGCGUGAGACUGGAUUCUGGAUACUUGGUACCACACACCCUGGUAUUCAAGAUGGCCUUGGAGUCCUCACAGAUGCGGUUCAAAUGGCGCAGGUGCCAGCCAAUUUGUCUCCAGUAGACCUUGUCGUUGUUCAAGCAGUGCAGGCACGCCGUGGGGUUGCCCGCAAAGACACAGGAGAACUCGUGGUGCAGUCGAACACAAUGGACCUGCAGAUGGACUCCUUCCUCCUGCCUGGUCACGGUCACAUUGCAUUUGGCCUGGUCUCUGCUGACAAAGCUGCCAGUGACAAUGACCUGGGUUGGCGGGCUUGUGGACACUAUCACGGGCUUCUCCAGAGGAACCCACCCAUCCUGCUCUGCCUCCAAAUUCACUUCAUCCUGUUCUCCACUUUGGGCCUCUGUCAGGAGCCCCUGAGCAGCCAGCAGGAGGACGGAGAGCAGGAAAACCUUGCAACCAGGCUGAUUACAGGAACAGCCCCAAGAAAGAGUCCUGGCAGUGAGGCCCUGCCAGGUAAGUAACUGUGCUGGUCCAGUGUGUGGAGGAACAGAGCCCCGCAGGGAGUGACCCCAUCUCCCUAUCCCUUCCUGCCACUUCUUGUAGUCACCCCUGCUCUGCACCACUCACCUAACUUUGAAACAAUGCUGGCAAAAGGAAGACAACUGUGAACCAAGCAGGAUUUAGCACUGAUAAGUUGAUUCACAUAAGCUGAGAUCUUUUCCCAAAAUGAAAGAAUUGUGGGGCUCGUGCAGUGGCGCAAUGGGUUAAUCCUCUUCUUGCGGCACCAGCAUCCCAUAUGGCACCGGUUCUAGUCCUGGCUGCUCCUUUUCCAAUCCAGCUCUCUGCUGUGGCCUGGGAAAGCAGUAGAAGAUGGCCCAAGUUCUUGCGCCCCUGUACCCAGGUGG
rnacentral:lncRNA from 1 species